UUGAACGCUGGCGGCAUGCCUAACACAUGCAAGUCGAACGGCAGCAUGAAGUGUAGCAAUACACUUUGAUGGCGAGUGGCGGACGGGUGAGUAACGCGUAGGAAUCUGCCUUGUAGAGGGGGACAACCCGGGGAAACCCGGGCUAAUACCGCAUAAUACUCUUCGGAGGAAAGCUUGUAGCAAUACAGGCACUAUGAGAGGAGCCUGCGUUCCGAUAGCUAGUUGGUAGGGUAAAGGCCUACCAAGGCGAUGAUCGGUAACUGGUCUGAGAGGAUGACCAGUCACACUGGGACUGAGACACGGCCCAGACUCCUACGGGAGGCAGCAGUGGGGAAUAUUGGACAAUGGGGGCAACCCUGAUCCAGCAAUGCCGCGUGUGUGAAGGAGAGCCUUCGGGUUGUAAAGCACUUUAGGCGUGAGAAGAAGAUAUGGUGAUGUAUCAUAUUUGACGGUACCCGCAGAAUAAGCACCGGCUAACUCUGUGGCCAGCAGCCGCGGUAAUACAGAGGGUGCGAGCGUUAAUCGGAGUUACCUGGGCGUCAAAGGGCGCGUAGGCGAUGAUUAAGUGAGAUGUGAAAUCCCGGCUUAACCUGGAACUGCAUCUUAUAGCUGGUGAGUCUAGAGUACUAGUAGAGGGUAGUGGAAUUUCCGGUGUAGCGGUGAAAUGCGUAGAGAUCGAAGGAACACCAGUGGCGAAGGCGACUAGCCUGGACAGAUACUGACGCUGGUGCAGCGAGUAGACGUGGGGAGCAAACAGGAUUAGAUACCCUGGUAGUUCCACGCUGUAAACGAUGAGAACUAGAUGUUGGCAGGCAUGACCUGUUUGUAUCGAAGCUAACGCGAUAAGUUCUCCGCCUGGGGGAGUACGGCCGCAAGUUAAAACUCAAAGGAAUUGACGGGGGGCCCGCACAAGCGGUGGAAGCAUGUGGUUUAAUUCGAUUGCAGACGCAGAAGAACCUUACCUAGCCCUUGACACCACGGAAUUCUGGCAGAGAUGCGGAAGUGCCUGAAAGGAACCGUGAGACAGGUGCUGCAUGGCUGUCGUCAGCUCGUGUUCUGUGAAUUUGGGUUAAGUCCCGUAAACGAAGCGCAACCCUUGUCCUUAGUUCCCAGCGCGUCAUGGGCGGGAACUCUAAGGAGACUGCUGGUGAAGACCGGAGGGAAGGCGGGGACGACGUCAAGUCAUCAUGCCUUUAUGGGUAGGGGCUACACACGUGCUACAAUGGGGCGUACAGAGGGAAGCCAACUCGCGAGAGGGAGCCAAUCCCAGAAAGCGUCUCGUAGUCCGGACUAGGAGGUCUGCAACUCGACUCCACUAAGUCAGGAAUCGCUAGUAAUCGCGAAUCAGAACGUCGCGGUGAAUACGUUCCCGGGCCUUGUACACACCGCCCGUCACACCAUGGGAGUGGGUUGUACCAGAAGCAGGUUUUAACCUUCGGGGUAGAACGCCUUGCCACGGUAUGAUUCAUGACUGGGGUG
rnacentral:rRNA from 1 species